rnacentral:rRNA from 1 species
AUUGAACGCUGGCGGCAUGCCUUACACAUGCAAGUCGAACGGCAGCAUGGAGAGCUUGCUCUCUGAUGGCGAGUGGCGAACGGGUGAGUAAUGCAUCGGAACGUACCGUGUAAUGGGGGAUAACGCAGCGAAAGUUACGCUAAUACCGCAUACGACCUGAGGGUGAAAGCAGGGGAUCGCAAGACCUUGCGUUAUACGAGCGGCCGAUGUCAGAUUAGCUAGUUGGUGAGGUAAAGGCUCACCAAGGCGACGAUCUGUAGCGGGUCUGAGAGGAUGAUCCGCCACACUGGGACUGAGACACGGCCCAGACUCCUACGGGAGGCAGCAGUGGGGAAUUUUGGACAAUGGGGGCAACCCUGAUCCAGCCAUGCCGCGUGAGUGAAGAAGGCCUUCGGGUUGUAAAGCUCUUUCGGCCGGGAAGAAAUCGCACGGGCUAAUACCCUGUGUGGAUGACGAUACCGGAAUAAGAAGCACCAGCUAACUACGUGCCAGCCGCCGCAGUAA